rnacentral:lncRNA from 1 species
GACUACCUUCAGAAGCCUAACCGUGCAACAGCUUUAUACCAGGCUCUACCUGCCAGGUGGCUCUCCAGGUGUGCCCUGUGAUUCCCCACGCUCGCCUGCAGGCUGCACUGUUGACGUGGUUAUCUCCCAGGCUCGCACAGCAGGCAAUUCAAACAGGUUGUGUCAACGCUGCAGGUAGGCACUGAAUCCACACAGCCAAGGCUGAAAAAGAUUGCCUCUGCCGCGAGAACUGUGGGCUAAGAACUGUGGUGGGCUGAGAACUGUGGAGAUGAGCCCACUUAGAGCUCCUAGUGUGCGCAUGCGUGGAGGGACACCUACUGGAGCAUGGGUAUCUUUCAUGGCCACAUUCCUGAAGAAAAAUGCUGGAGCCAGGAUCAGGAAAGGACCAGGAACAAGGUCCUCCACACACCCUCCAUCCGUGCGUUCCAGGGCUCGUGGGUUUGCUUCAGCCAAAACCUCGAACGAGCCACAUCCUUGUGCUCUUGACUGUGGUGAGAUUGCUAGCUACGUGUAACUUCUCCGAGGGGUCAAAAGUGUUAUGUUUGCUCAACAGUGCUCCUGCCUUCUGACACUUGUGAUUACAGAACUGGAGUGGAGACAUGUGGGCAUAUGUAUUUCUGUCUUCAGGCUCCUGAGUGCCCACUGUAAUCUUCAGUUGUACCAUCUCUGUAGUCCUGUCUCUCAGAUAAACAAAUGAAGGACUGACUGGAUCUCUC